rnacentral:rRNA from 1 species
UACGGGGGGGGUAAGCGUUGUUCGGAAUUACUGGGCGUAAAGGGCGCGUAGGCGGUGUGUCAAGUCAGGCGUGAAAGCCCCGGGCUCAACCUGGGAACCGCGCUUGAGACUGGCACGCUCGAGUUCGGGAGAGGAUGGUGGAAUUCCCAGUGUAGAGGUGAAAUUCGUAGAUAUUGGGAAGAACACCGAUGGCGAAGGCAGCCAUCUGGACCGACACUGACGCUGAGGCGCGAAAGCGUGGGGAGCAAACAGG